rnacentral:lncRNA from 1 species
CAUCACCGCCCCCCAUCCCCUCCCCAUCCCCUUGAGGACCCAACCCAAUGACUGACCGACCCUUCCCCUCCCCAUCCCGUUGAGGACCCAACCCAACCGUUGGCCAACCCUUCCCCACCCCAUCACCGCCCCCCAUCCCCUCCCCAUCCCCUUGAGGACCCGACCCAAUGGCUGACCGACCCUUCCCCACCCCAUCCCCUUGGGUACACCGCUGCCCCCCCCCCCUUGUCGGGGGGCUCUCGGGGAGCCCCUCAGUGCUGAGCGACCGGGCCGGGGGUGUCCUUGGGGCGAAACGACUCAGCAGACGACUGACCCGACCCCGUGGGGCUUCGGUGGUACCGCAGCUCUCCAAACCUUCAGCGCUACGGCUCAACCCCUGGCUCAACGUCACCGGGGGUGACGACCCCAUUGGAGGACCCCCCCCCCCCGGCCCCCGCUUUUGCCCGGCGCCUUUCCAACAGUUCCCUUUUCCAUGGGGGUAAUUGGGCCGCCCGGUCCCGCUGUUCCCUUUCCCGACGCCGGGCUGCUUCUUCUUCACGUCGACGGCGUUCCAAGAGUUGGAUCUUCCAACCCGGCACCGCCAUGGCCUGAGGUGGGAGGGGGACGUUGGGGAGACGUUGGGAGCGGUGGGGGACACCGAGGAUGGGGAUUUGGGGUCACCAGGGAUGGGGUCACCGAGUUUGGGGUCACCAGGGAUGGGGAUUUGGGGUCACCAGGGAUGGGGUCACCGAGUUUGGGGUCACCGGGGAUGGGGAUUUGGGGUCACCAGGGAUGGUAUGGGGUCACCAGGUAUGAUGGGGACACCGAGGAUGGGGAUUUGGGGUCACCAGGGAUGGUAUGGGGUCACCAGGGAUGGUAGGGAGACCGAGGAUGGAGAUAUUGGGGUCACCAGGGAUGGCGUCACCGAGUUUGGGGUCACUGGGGAUGGUAGGGAGACCGGAGGUGGGGAUUUGGGGUCACCAGGGAUGGUUUGGGGUCACCAGGAGUGGUGGGGACACCGAGGAUGGGGAUUUGGGGUCACCAGGGAUGGUAUGGGGUCACCAGGUAUGAUGGGGACACCGAGGAUGGGGAUUUGGGGUCAACAGGGAUGGUAUGGGGUCACCAGGUAUGAUGGGGACACCGAGGAUGCGGAUUUGGGGUCAACAGGGAUGGGGUCACCGUGUUUGGGGGCACCGGGGAUGGUGGGGAGAGCGAGGAUGGGGAUUUGGGGUCACCAGGGAUGGUAUGGGGUCACCAGGGAUGGUAGGGAGACCGAGGAUGAGGAUUUGGGGUCACCAGGGAUGGGGUCACCGAGUUUGGGGUCACCGGGGAUGGUAGGGAGACCGAGGAUGGGGAUUUGGGGUCACCAGGGAUGGUUUGGGGUCACCAGGGAUGGAGACAUUGGGGUCACCAGGGAUGGGGUCACCGAGUUUGGGGUCACCAGGGAUGGGGAUUUGGGGUCACCAGGGAUGGGGUCACCGAGUUUGGGGUCACCGGGGAGGGGGAUUUGGGGUCACCAGGGAUGGUAUGGGGUCACCGGGGAUGGUGGGGAGACCGGGGGUGGGGAUUUGGGGUCACCAGGGAUGGUUUGGGGUCACCAGGAGUGGUGGGGACACCGAGGAUGGGGAUUUGGGGUCACCAGGGAUGGUAUGGGGUCACCAGGUAUGAUGGGGACACCGAGGAUGGGGAUUUGGGGUCACCAGGGAUGGUAUGGGGUCACCGGGGAUGGUGGGGAGACCGGGGGUGGUGAUUUGGGGUCACUAGGGAUGGUUUGGGGUCACGAGGGAUGGUGGGGACCCCACAAAUGGGGAUUUGGGGUCACCAGGGAUGGUUUGGGGUCACCGGGGAUGGUGGGGACACCGAGGGUGGGGAUUUGGGGUCACCAGGCAUGGUAUGGGGUCACCAGGUAUGAUGGGGACACCGAGGAUGCGGAUUUGGGGUCAACAGGGAUGGUAUGGGGUCACCAGGUAUGAUAGGGACACCGAGGAUGGGUAUUUGGGGUCACCAGGGAUGGGGUCACCGUGUUUGGGGGCACCGGGGAUGGUGGGGAGACCGAGGAUGGGGAUUUGGGGUCACCAGGGAUGGUUUGGGGUCACCAGGGAUGGUGGGGACAUCAGGGAUGCAGAUAUUGGGGUCACCAGGGAUGGGGCCACCGAGUUUGGGGUCACCGGGGAUGGUGGGGAGACUGGGGGUGGGGAUUUGGGGUCACCAGGGGUGGUGGGGACACCGAGGAUGGGGAUUUGGGGUCACCAUGGAUGGGGUCACCGAGUUUGGGGUCACCGGGGAUGGUGGGGAGACCGAGGAUGGGGAUUUGGGGUCACCAGGGAUGGUGGACCCCAUAGAUGGGGAUUUGGGGUCACCAGGGAUGGUUUGGGGUCACCAGGGGUGGUGGGGAGACCGAGGAUGGGGAUUUGGGGUCACCAGGGAUGGGGUCACCAUGUUUGGGGGUACCGAGGAUGGAGAUAUUGGGGUCACCAUGGAUGGUUUGGAGCCAACAGGGGUGAUGGGGACCCCACAGAUGGGGAUUUGGGACCACCAGGUAUGAUGGGGACACCGAGGAUGGGGAUUUGGGGUCACCAGGGAUGG